rnacentral:misc_RNA from 1 species
AACGAGGCCGACCUGCGGCUGAGUUACCUGCGGAGGGAUCAUUACCGAGAACCGGCGCCCUCGUGGCCCGACCCUCAAACCACCGCGUACCGAACUUGAACGUUGCCUCGGCGGGGCCCCCAGGGGACCCGCCGCAGGACGCAAACAAGACCGUUUUGUGUGACGAACGUCUGAUAUUCUUCUUCGCGAAUGCGAUAAAGUACAACUUUUAACAACGGAUCUCAGAUCGGAAGAGCACAC